GUGGCCGCACCCGAUCCCAUUCCGAACUCGGCCGUGAAACGCCCCUGCGCCAAUGGUACUUCGUCUCAAGACGCGGGAGAGUAGGUCGCUGCCAGGU
rnacentral:rRNA from 1 species